rnacentral:rRNA from 1 species
UACGAAGGGGGCGAGCGUUGUUCGGAUUUACUGGGCGUAAAGGGCGCGUAGGCGGCCGAUCAAGUCAGGCGUGAAAGCCCCGGGCUCAACCUGGGAAUGGCGCUUGGGACUGGUUGGCUUGAGUUCGGGAGAGGAGAGUGGAAUUCCCAGUGUAGAGGUGAAAUUCGUAGAUAUUGGGAAGAACACCGGUGGCGAAGGCGGCUCUCUGGACCGAGACUGACGCUGAGGCGCGAAAGCGUGGGGGAGCAAACA